rnacentral:tRNA from 85 species
GGGCGGUUAGCUCAGCGGUAGAGCACUACCUUGACAUGGUAGGGGUCACAAGUUCGAUCCUUGUACCGCCCACCA